CAGUCGCCGCGGUAAUACGAAGGGUGCAAGCGUUACUCGGAAUUACUGGGCGUAAAGCGUGCGUAGGUGGUGGUUUAAGUCCGUUGUGAAAGCCCUGGGCUCAACCUGGGAAUUGCAGUGGAUACUGGGUCACUAGAGUGUGGUAGAGGAUAGUGGAAUUUCCGGUGUAGCAGUGAAAUGCGUAGAGAUCGGAAGGAACAUCUGUGGCGAAGGCGACUAUCUGGGCCAACACUGACACUGAGGCACGAAAGCGUGGGGAGCAAACAGGAUUAGAUACCCGCGUAGUCCCUGUCUCUUAUAA
rnacentral:rRNA from 1 species